AGCUUAACAGUUUUGAGGCCUCAUGUACACAAAUGAAGGGUUAUGGAGCUGCAGUGGUGCUCAACCAACUGUCCUGGCAAAAUUAUUUAGGAGGUAAAAGAACAUUCCCCACAUUAGGAGCCAAAAAGCCAGGUACUGGUGCCAGUGGCAUAGGAAGUUACUGGAAACCAGGAAAAUACAUCGGGGAGCAAGCUCAAAGGACCAGGCUGAACCCAGCAGUCACAAGCUGGAUGGACACUCCGUGAGCACGUAUUGGAGUCCAUAGCUGCACAUCCC